GUUAAAAACAAUACAUAUCAAAUAUGACAUAAGAGAAAAUUGGCUUCAUAAUGUAACGCUUUGAAAUUGGGCCUCUGUCUCUUUAAGAAGCUCCAGCACUUUCUGAUACUCCGACUUAAGCAUUUCAUCACAACAUUUCUCCAUUAAGCCUUUAACAUCAAUUUUAGGACAGUUGGACUGAGAAGUAGCUCCGAUGAUGAGCUCAGCAGACGCACAGUUCUACCAGAUCACCCUUUUUCUCAUGUGGGCAGCUGCCCCCACUCAGGGGUCAAAGGGGAAGGCUGCUCUGUGAGGCGGAAGCUCGGC